GAUGAACGCUGGCGGCGUGCCUAAUACAUGCAAGUCGAGCGAACGGACGAGAAGCUCGCUUCACUGAUGUUAGCGGCGGACGGGUGAGUAACACGUGGAUAACCUACCUCUAAGACUGGGAUAACUUCGAGUAACCGUAGCUACUACUAGAUAAUAUUUUGAACCGCAUGGUUCAAAAGUGAAUGACGGUCUUGCUGUCACCUAUAGCUGGAUCCGCGCUGCAUUAGCUAGUUGGUAAGGUAACGGCUUACCAUGGCAGCGAUGCAUAGCCGACCUGAGAGGGUGAUCGGCCACACUGGAACUGAGACACGGUCCAGACUCCUACGGGAGGCAGCAGUAGGGAAUCGUCGGCAAUGGGCGGAAGCCUGACGGAGCAACGCCGCGUGGGUGAAGAAGGUCUUCGGAUCGUAAAACUCUGUUAGUGGGGAAGAACAUAUGCGUAAGUAACGGUGCACAUCUUGACGGUACCUAAACAGAAAGCAACGGCUAACUACGUG
rnacentral:rRNA from 1 species